AAGAAGGAAGUUAAAGAAGAUGAAUGAGGAGCACAAGGAAAAAGAAGGUUGGAGAAGACGUUAUUAUAGACAGUUGAAGCGAACAGAGCCAGGGCGAGGAGCGGCAGGAGCAGCAGUCGGUACCGCUGCAGCUUCGCUGUGGUUCCUCAUGCCCUGUGGAAGAGUUAGUCUGUCACGCUCAGUCCAAGUGUCAACUGUGUGAAGCGAAAGGAGUCAUGCGCAGAGAGCAGUGAGACAACAGCGUGGGUGGGAGGCUACUCUGCAGAAGAGGGAAGGCAUCGCUGGGUUAGAAGCAUUCCAAAGUGUUCAUUCCAAAGUGUAAGGCAAAUACAAGAGGCUUUCUAGAUUGAGACUGAGAAGACCCAUGGAGACGGAGUGUGGUCCCAAGGAGAAGUGUGGGCAGUGACACAUGGUCUCUCCGAUGGUGUGAGCACAGAUUCUAAGCACCUGAACAGUAAGAAAAAUUUGU
rnacentral:lncRNA from 1 species